rnacentral:lncRNA from 1 species
GGAGAUGAUGACCAUAAUUGGAAAAUUGCCCAUGUGGUACUCAAAGAGGAACAGAAAUUUCGCUAACUUUUCCAGGGCACAAAAGGCGACCCUCGGAACUCAACUGGGGGAAUUUACCUGGAUGACAUCACUCUGACAGAAACCCCCUGCCCCACAGGGGUCUGGACAGUCCGGAAUUUCUCCCAGGUCCUUGAGAACACCAGCGAAGGGGACAAGCUUCAGAGCCCUCGAUUCUACAAUUCAGAGGGAUGCGGUUUUGGGUUAACUUUAUACCCCCAUGGCAGAGAAAGCUCUGGCUAUUUGAGACUUGCUUUUCACGUGUGCAGUGGGGAGAAUGAUGCUAUCCUGGAGUGGCCGGUAGAAAACAGACAGGUGAUAAUUACCAUCUUCGACCAGGAGCCUGAUGUCAGGAACAGGAUGUCCUCAAGUUUGGUGUUCACUACCUCCAAGUUGCACAUAUCUCAAAUGACACUGUCAUCUGGGACAGGCCGUCCAGGGUGGGAACCUAUCAUGCUGACUGUAAUUGUUUUAGAAGCAUUGACUUUGGCUGGAGUGGUUUCAUCUCCCACCAAAUGCUGAAAAGGAGGAGUUUCCUGAAAAAUGAUGACCUCAUCAUGUUUGUGGACUUUUGAAGAUAUCACCCACCUCAGCCAGACUGAAGUUCCCACUAAAGGCAAAAGACUGAGCCCCCAAGGCCUCAUUCUCCAAGGCCAGGAGCAGCAGGUCUCCAAAGAAGGUUCAGGAAAGGCCAUGUUAGAGGAAGCCGUACCUGUCAGCCUCAGCCAGGGGCAGCCCAGCUGACAGAAGCCGUCAGUGAAGAACACAGGCCCCCUGGAGGACCAUAACUGGCCACAGUACUUCAGAGACCCAUGUGACCCAAACCCUUGCCAAAAUGAUGGCAUCUGUGUGAACCUGAAGUGGGUGUUUCCCUCAGGUGCAUCUCUGGACAUGCUUUCUUCUAAAUGGGAGCGCUGUCAGGCCAUGCAGUUGCACGGCAGCGUCCUGGGCAUGGUGAUUGGAGGCACGGCUGGUGUGAUCUUCUUGACCUUCUCCAUCAUUGCCAUCCUUUCCCAAAGGCCAAGGA